UGGGGAAUAUUGCACAAUGGAGGGAACUCUGAUGCAGCGACGCCGCGUGAACGAAGAAGGCUUUCGAGUCGUAAAGUUCUUUUAUAUGGGAAGAUAAUGACGGUACCAUAAGAAAAAGCGCCGGCUAACUACGUGCCAGCAGCCGCGGUAAUACGUAGGGGGCUAGCGUUGUCCGGAAUCACUGGGCGUAAAGGGUUCGCAGGCGGAAAUGCAAGUCAGGUGUAAAAGGCAGUAGCUUAACUACUGUAAGCAUUUGAAACUGCAUAUCUUGAGAAGAGUAGAGGUAAGUGGAAUUUUUAGUGUAGCGGUGAAAUGCGUAGAUAUUAAAAAGAAUACCGGUGGCGAAGGCGACUUACUGGGCUCAUUCUGACGCUGAGGAACGAAAGCGUGGGUAGCAAACAGG
rnacentral:rRNA from 2 species